UAUCCCCUGACUGGCACGCCUUUCUGUUCCUUCCCCUUUUCCACAGUGCAAUGAUCCCCAGUGAACAACAUUUUCUAUGCGACUAUUGUCCUCAUCAGCCAUACCAACAGGAGUAGAAUAGAGAGCGACCCGGUGCAGAGCUUAGCGGGCGG